CUUUUGCCUUUCUGCAGCCCAGAGACAGAAGCAGAUAAUGCAAGUGUCAUCUACAUCUGGCAAAAGCCAAAGGUUUGGAAGAUGGAAAAAGGAAUCCAGGCAAAAAGGAGCCCAAGAUUGAAGUGAAUGACCAGGUGCACCAGUUCAAAUGCAAUCAGGAGGGACAGGGGUAGAGGGAGAAGCCUAGAGCAGCGCUUCUCAAACUGACUAUUCAAGUCACCUGGAGAUCUUGGUGAAAUGCAGACUCUGGUGCAGUAGGUCCUGGCGGGAACUUGAAAUUCUGCAUUUUGACCAAGGUCCAAGGUGAAUGUCCAGUGCUGUUGUCCUUGGCCUGCAGCAGGAGGAGCAGGGAUCUAAGACUUGGAGAGCAAAUGUCAAGCUCAGAAGAAAGACUGGAAGUUUGGGGACAAAACCCAAAUAUGGCUAAAGAAAGCCUGUAGGAUGAAGUUGGAAGUUCCAGAGCCUUCUCUUCACAUAAUGGGACAUGCAAGGGGGAAACCAAAUCAAAAGUGUAGAAUGCGUCGCUGGAUGUCUUUGACAUGUUAUUGUUCUGAUAGAAUAUCAGCGGGGAGCUACUGAGGACCUCCUCACUACCCUCCCUUGGAAGAGUUUGUCUGCAAUGGAGCCAACACAGUGGAAAGCAGAGCUGAGAAAUGGACAAACAACUCCUGAUGCCUCAUUUGAGCACCUGGAUUUAGCCAUGUCUGAAGCUAUUAAUCUUCCCCACCAAGUUAGAACCUGUGUCAUGUUCCUCUGAACUGUGUUUGUCCCCUUCGGGGGACCCCACAUGCUACGGACACCUGAUGAUUCGACCUGUUCACCAUCCCUUCAGCCCUGAACUGGCAACAGUAUCCUCAUUAUUCAUGAGAAAACGAUUCCUCCUCCCUUCCCAGACCAUGAGGAUUGAGUGGAAUUCACUCCAUCCUUCUCAGCUCCCUGACUGAACCAGCCCCUGUGGGAAGAGAAAGCCCCCAGGCUGAGAAUCAACUGAGCUGCAUUGAGGAGCCCCAGGUGUGUGUCCAGGAAUGCCAAGUGCAGAAGGGCUAUGCACGGGGCACCAUCAUGACCUGCUGCAGAGACCGUCCCUGAGAACAGAGGAGCAGAGAGAGAGAAGAGCAAGAGAUGGGCAAGGACAGAGUCACAAUCCCAGUGUCUGGCCCCUGCCUCCGGCCUUGUCUCAGCUAGCUCUGUCACUGGACUUUCAUUUGUCUGGGACCAAUAUCUCUCUUCCUUCCUAAAGAUGACUGCAGACUGGUUUCUGCCCUGUGUAAUGAAAAGAUCAUGAUGUGCACAGCUUUUUACCCCAUCUUAAGAAUAUUUGAGCACUUAUCUCCAUAGAGGGCAGAAUCUGUAAUGAAUUUACUUUUCAGUCCUCCAUAACACCUGUCGCAAGGUUUGUACAGUUUUCAAGAAAUACUGGGUAGAUGAAUGAAUGGAUACUGAAAAGACCCACUAAAAUUUAAUGCAAAUCUGUAACAACAGAUGCCCAUUUAAGGCACAUGGCAGAGGGCAAGGUGGCAUAGGGAGAAAGCAGUUGGAGCAGAUUCAUCCUGGCAGUGGCACCCUGUGAGGAGGGGUACUGGCAGGUCCCACUGGGGCUCCCAAGUGAAAAAGUGCCAGUGUUAGUUCCUGCUACCAAGAAACCUAGAGCUUCUCUGGUUCUAGUUUUUUCCAAAGGCUCAUUUUCCAGCUUUUCCUUCCAUUCUGAGAGCUAUACCAUAGCUUCCAUUAAUUCUUUAUUGUUUGUUAAUUUGGCCUAAUACUGUGACUCAGUCUCUGUCACUUGCCACCCUAGAACCCUAGCCAGCACAGAAAUGACGGAGUGAAACCACCUCCACACAAACCAGUGCUGCUUCCUCUCUUCACAGUUGCAGAUUCUGUCUCUAGUGGCAGCAUUAAGGGAGAUUGUGUCAUCAAGCCUGCUUUGCUCUAAGAUGCUGACUUUAACAGAUUAGAAAUGUUCCCGGCACAGCCCACGCUUCUGCUAAUAAAUGAUUCCAUAUCUAUCAUGAAUGAAUUUCAAGUCUUCCAUUACUGGGCUGUGUACCUACUCACGAAGUACAUUUCCAGGCGAUUUUGUCUGAAUUACAUGGUUAAUUGCCUCAUAUUUUCAGCUCA
rnacentral:lncRNA from 1 species